rnacentral:rRNA from 1 species
UACGUAGGGGGCAAGCGUUGUCCGGAAUCAUUGGGCGUAAAGCGCGUGUAGGCGGCUCGAUAAGUCCGCUCUGAAAGUCCAGGGCUCAACCCUGGGAUGCGGGUGGAUACUGUCGGGCUCGAGUCCGGAAGAGGCGAGUGGAAUUCCUGGUGUAGCGGUGAAAUGCGCAGAUAUCAGGAGGAACACCAAUGGCGAAGGCAGCUCGCUGGGACGUGACUGACGCUGAGACGCGAAAGCGUGGGGAGCAAACAGG